AAAUAGGUAAGCUAAAAAAAGCUAUUGGGUUCAUACCCCACUUAUAGAGGUUCACCCUUUUCUAUUUA
rnacentral:tRNA from 1 species